UGGGGAAUUUUGGACAAUGGGCGAAAGCCUGAUCCAGCAAUGCCGCGUGUGUGAAGAAGGCCUUCGGGUUGUAAAGCACUUUUGUCCGGAAAGAAAUCCUUGGCUCUAAUACAGUCGGGGGAUGACGGUACCGGAAGAAUAAGCACCGGCUAACUACGUGCCAGCAGCCGCGGUAAUACGUAGGGUGCAAGCGUUAAUCGGAAUUACUGGGCGUAAAGCGUGCGCAGGCGGUUUGCUAAGACCGAUGUGAAAUCCCCGGGCUCAACCUGGGAACUGCAUUGGUGACUGGCAGGCUAGAGUAUGGCAGAGGGGGGUAGAAUUCCACGUGUAGCAGUGAAAUGCGUAGAGAUGUGGAGGAAUACCGAUGGCGAAGGCAGCCCCCUGGGCCAAUACUGACGCUCAUGCACGAAAGCGUGGGGAGCAAAACAGGAUUAGAUACCCUGGUAGUCCACGCCCUAAAACGAUGUCAACUAGUUGUUGGGGAUUCAUUUCCUUAGUAACGUAGCUAACGCGUGAAGUUGACCGCCUGGGGAGUACGGUCGCAAGAUUAAAACUUAAAUGAAUUGACGGGGUCAUAGCUGUUUCC
rnacentral:rRNA from 1 species